AUUGAACGCUGGCGGCAGGCCUAACACAUGCAAGUCGAACGGUAACAGGAAGAAGCUUGCUUCUUUGCUGACGAGUGGCGGACGGGUGAGUAAUGUCUGGGAAACUGCCUGAUGGAGGGGGAUAACUACUGGAAACGGUAGCUAAUACCGCAUAACGUCGCAAGACCAAAAAGGGGGACCUUCGGGCCUCUUGCCAUCGGAUGUGCCCAGAUGGGAGUAGUUAGUAGGUGGGGUAACGGCGCACCUAGGCGACGAUCCCUAGCUGGUCUGAGAGGAUGACCAGCCACACUGGAACUGAGACACGGUCCAGACUCCUACGGGAGGCAGCAGUGGGGAAUAGUGCACAAUGGGCGCAAGCCUGAUGCAGCCAUGCCGCGUGUAUGAAGAAGGCCUUCGGGUUGUAAAGUACUUUCAGCGGGGAGGAAGGGAGUAAAGUUAAUACCUUUGCUCAUUGACGUUACCCGCAGAAGAAGCACCGGCUAACUCCGUG
rnacentral:rRNA from 1 species